GGAGGAAUCUUGCGCAAUGGGCGAAAGCCUGACGCAGCGACGCCGUGUGCGGGAAGAAGGCCUUCGGGUUGUAAACCGCUUUCAGGAGGGACGAAGCCACUCGGGUGAAUAGCCUAGAGGGUGACGGUACCUCCAGAAGAAGCCCCGGCUAACUACGUGCCAGCAGCCGCGGUAAUACGUAGGGGGCUAGCGUUGUCCGGAUUUAUUGGGCGUAAAGAGCGUGUAGGCGGCCAAGUAAGUCCGGUGUGAAAACUCGAGGCUUAACCUCGAGAUGUCAUCGGAAACUAUUUGGCUAGAGUCCGGAAGAGGAGAGUGGAAUUCCUGGUGUAGCGGUGAAAUGCGCAGAUAUCAGGAAGAACACCCAUGGCGAAAGCAGCUCUCUGGGACGGUACUGACGCUGAGACGCGAAAGCGUGGGGAGCGAACAGGAUUAGAUACCCUGGUAGUCCACGCCGUAAACGAUGGGUGCUAGGUGUGGGCGGUGUCGACUCCGUCCGUGCCGAAGCUAACGCAUUAAGCACCCCGCC
rnacentral:rRNA from 1 species